GGAAGGUAACUAUGUCAAAAGUAUGUUGUUUACAGGGGAAGAAAUUGAAAUGAUCAGGAGGAGAGCUGCUAUACAAGAAUGGGAAAGAGCUCAUCCUCCAGGACCAGGGCUAAUACCAGCAGGGCAGAAAUACCCAUUUGCCGAUCGUGGCUUGAGU